rnacentral:rRNA from 1 species
AACAUGGCCUUUUGAGUUUGAUUUAAGGUCCGACCUGCCCAAUGAGGUUUUCAAUGGCUGCAGUAUUUUGACUGUACAAAGGUAGCAUAAUCAUUAGUUUUUUAAUUAAAAGCUAGUAUGAAUGGUUUAAUGAGAAAGAAGCUGUCUUUAUUAAAAUUUGUUAUAGAAAUUUAUUUUUGAGUUAAAAAGCUUAAAUUUAUUUAAAAGACGAGAAGACCCUAUAGAGUUUUAUAAUUAUUAAAUUUAUAUAUGUUAAGAAUUUUAAUUUUAUUUAAUUUAUAAAUUAUUUGGUUGGGGUGACUUAAAAAUUUAAUUAACUUUUUAAUAUUUUGAACAUUAAUUUAUGAUUAAUUGAUCCACUAUGAUGUGAUUAAAAGAUUAAAUUACCUUAGGGAUAACAGCGUAAUUUUCUUGGAGAGUUCUUAUCGAUAAGAAAGGUUGCGACCUCGAUGUUGGAUUAAAAUUAACUAUUGGCGCAGAAGUUGAUUAGUUAGGUCUGUUCGACCUUUAAAAUUUUACAUGAUCUGAGUUUAAACCGGUGUGAGCCAGG